rnacentral:rRNA from 1 species
GCCCUAGUAACGGCGAGCGAAGCGGCAACAGCUCAAAUUUGAAAUCUGGCUACUUUGUAGUCCGAGUUGUAAUUUGUAGAGGAUGCUUUUGGUGAGGUGCCUUCCGAGUUCCCUGGAACGGGACGCCAGAGAGGGUGAGAGCCCCGUACGGUUGGAUACCAAACCUUUGUAUAGCUCCUUCAACGAGUCGAGUAGUUUGGGAAUGCUGCUCUAAAUGGGAGGUAUAUCUCUUCUAAAGCUAAAUAUAGGCUAGAGACCGAUAGCGCACAAGUAGAGUGAUCGAAAGAUGAAAAGCACUUUGAAAAGAGAGUUAAACAGCACGUGAAAUUGUUGAAAGGGAAGCGCCUAUGACCAGACUUGUUUCUUUCAGUUUUGUUAGUUCUCGGACUGAUUUACUCUGUUAGUACAGGCCAGCAUCAGUUUGUUGUCGGGGAGAAAGGCUUAGGGAAUGUGGCUCCUUCGGGAGUGUUAUAGCCCUUUGCAUAAUACCCUUCGGCAGACUGAGGACCGCGCUUCGGCAAGGAUGCUGGCGUAAUGGUCAUCAGCGACCCGUCUUGAAACACGGACCAAGGAGUCAACCUUAUGUGCGAGUGUUUGGGUGUAAAACCCCAGCGCGUAAUGAACGUGAACGUAGGUGAGAGCUUCGGCGCAUCAUCGACCGAUUCUGAUGUUCUCGGAUGGAUUUGAGUAAGAGCACACAGGGUUGGACCCGAAAGAAGGUGAACUAUGCUUGUAUAGGGUGAAGCCAGAGGAAACUCUGGUGGAGGCUCGCAGCGGUUCUGACGUGCAAAUCGAUCGUCAAAUAUGAGCAUGGGGGCGAAAGACUAAUCGAACCUUCUAGUAG